GCAAUUCGGCAGCUAUAAUGCAAGUCGACGGUAACAUGAGUAGCAAUACUUGAUGACGAGUGGCGCACGGGUGCGUAACACGUAUGCAACCUACCUUUAACCGGGGGAUAGCUCCGAGAAAUCGGAAUUAAUACCCCAUAAUAUUGUGAAGUGGCAUCACUAUACAAUUAAAACUUCGGUGGUUUUAGAUGGGCAUGCGCGACAUUAGCUAGUUGGUGAGGUAACGGCUCACCAAGGCUACGAUGUCUAGGGGAUCUGAGAGGAUUAACCCCCACACUGGUACUGAGACACGGACCAGACUCCUACGGGAGGCAGCAGUAAGGAAUAUUGGUCAAUGGACGAAAGUCUGAACCAGCCAUGCCGCGUGCAGGAUGACGGCCCUAUGGGUUGUAAACUGCUUUUGUACGGGAAAAAACCCCCCGACGUGUCGGGGGCUGAUGGUACCGUAAGAAUAAGGAUCGGCUAACUCCGUGCCAGCAGCCGCGGUAAUACGGAGGAUCCAAGCGUUAUCCGGAUUCAUUGGGUUUAAAGGGUGCGUAGGCGGAAUGAUAAGUCAGUGGUGAAAGCCUGCAGCUUAACUGCAGAACUGCCAUUGAUACUGUCAAUCUUGAGUACAUCUGAAGUGGGCGGAAUGUGUCAUGUAGCGGUGAAAUGCUUAGAUAUGACACAGAACACCGAUUGCGAAGGCAGCUCACUAAACCGUAACUGACGCUGAGGCACGAAAGCGUGGGGAUCAAACAGGAUUAGAUACCCUGGUAGUCCACGCCGUAAACGAUGAUUACUAGAUGUGUGCGAUACACUGCACGCGUCUUAGCGAAAGUGAUAAGUAAUCCACCUGGGGAGUACGGUCGCAAGACUGAAACUCAAAGGAAUUGACGG
rnacentral:rRNA from 1 species